rnacentral:rRNA from 1 species
CAGCAGCCGCGGGAAUACGUAGGGUGCAAGCGUUAAUCGGAAUUACUGGGCGUAAAGCGUGCGCAGGCGGUUAUAUAAGACAGAUGUGAAAUCCCCGGGCUCAACCUGGGAACUGCAUUUGUGAAUGUAUAGCUAGAGUACGGCAGAGGGGGAUGGAAUUCCGCGUGUAGCAGUGAAAUGCGUAGAUAUGCGGAGGAACACCGAUGGCGAAGGCAAUCCCCUGGGCCUGUACUGACGCUCAUGCACGAAAGCGUGGGGAGCAAACAGGAUUAGAUACCCCGGUAGUCCCUGUCUCUUAUAC